rnacentral:misc_RNA from 1 species
AGAGAUGAGCUCCUUUCCUGAUGAAGGUGGGCUCUUGCUUCCCACCUCUCUGAACUUUCUUUUUCUCGAAAGAGUCCAGAACCUGGAAUCUUUAUCCAGAGGCAUCCAGGAGCUUACCUCUCUUGUGCAAUUAUGGAUCAUAAACUGUCCUAAUGUCUGGUCCUUACCAAAAGAAGGCCUCCCUCCCACACUUGGACAACUCUACAUCGGCAACUGCCCUCUUCUGAAACGGCGGUGCUCGAAGGAGAAAGGAGAAUACUGGCCCAUCAUAGCCCACAUCCCUCAUAUGGUGAUAGAUUGAACUCAACUAAACUGUGCAAGAAUAAUAGGGAAGUAGAAGCUAAUCCACGAAGUCUUUUAGAUCAUCAAGCAGGGCAGCA